rnacentral:rRNA from 1 species
UACGUAGGGUGCAAGCGUUGUCCGGAAUUAUUGGGCGUAAAGAGCUCGUAGGCGGUCUGUCGCGUCGGCUGUGAAAACCCGGAGCUCAACUCCGGGCCUGCAGUUGAUACGGGCAGACUGGAGUUCGGCAGGGGAGACUGGAAUUCCUGGUGUAGCGGUGAAAUGCGCCAGAUAUCAGGAGGAACACCGGUGGCGAAGGCGGGUCUCUGGGCCGAUACUGACGCUGAGGAGCGAAAGCGUGGGGAGCGAACAGG